rnacentral:misc_RNA from 1 species
UCCGGUUUGUCACCGGCAGUCGAUCUAGAGUGCCCAGCUUUACCUGCUGGCAACUAAACCUAAGGGUUGCGCUCGUUGCGGGACUUAACCCAACAUCUCACGACACGAGCUGACGACAACCAUGCACCACCUGUCUCUCUUGUCCCGAAAGCCUACGCUAUCUCUAACGUAUUCAAGAGGAUGUCAAGACCUGGUAAGGUUCUUCGCGUUGCUUCGAAUUAAACCACAUACUCCACUGCUUGUGCGGGUCCCCGUCAAUUCCUUUGAGUUUCAGUCUUGCGACCGUACUCCCCAGGCGGAAUGCUUAAUGUGUUAACUUCGGCACCAAGGGUAUCGAAACCCCUAACACCUAGCAUUCAUCGUUUACGGCGUGGACUAC